rnacentral:rRNA from 1 species
AUUGAACGCUGGCGGCAUGCUUUACACAUGCAAGUCGGACGAGUGGCGUACGGGUGAGUAACGCAUCGGCACGUACCGGGGAAUGGGGGAUAACUGUGCGAAAGGACAGCUACUACCGCAUAUUAUUCGAGCGGCCGCUGUGUGUUUAGCUGGUUGGCGGGGUAAAGGCCCACCAAGGCGGCGAGCAGUAGCGGGUCGUGGAGGAUGAUCCGCCCCACUUGGACUUGGACACGGGCCAGACGCCUACGGGAGGCAGCCGUGGGGAAUUUUGGACAAUGGGGGAAAGCCUGAUCCAGCCAUGCCGCGUGUCUGAAGAAGGCCUUCGGGGUGUAAAGCUCUGUUAAUCGGGACGCGGUACCGGAAUAGAAAGCCACGGCUAACUACGUGCCAGCAGCCGCGGUAAUAC